GCUAGCCUGAUCUGGUCUGGUCUCUGGUGUAUUUGGACUCCAGCUCCAACUCCGGGACCUCGACCUCGGCCGUCCAGCCAGACUCCAGAGCGGAUCAAACGCUCCCUGCAUCAGUGGGCCCAAUGGUGUGGAUCUGGAGCGUUGGAUCGCAUAUUAACGGUUAGAUUAGCCUUGACCCUCAUCAAAGAGAGCAAAGUCUCCCCGUCCUCUCGAGCAUCUCUGACAGGCCGCCGCUCCUUCCGGAUCUGGGCGAGGCGAGCUGCGGCGCCGGGGCGUCGCGGGGAGGGGGAAGGGAGGAUGAGCUGGAUCGGGCGCAAGAUCCACCUCUACAAUGUCACCAUCGGCCUCUACAUGCUCGAUUGUAAUCUGAAGACACUUUUCCAAGAUGGAAACUAUCUUGUGGGAGGCAGUACAUAGCCAUGAUUGGACGAAAUCUGCUUAUGAUCAUUUGCCUGUGUAAUUUCAUCGGUUUAAUUAGUUGUUAACUGCGUAACAGAGAAGGAAUUAGACAAUUAUCACCGUGUAGCCAUUUCUGUAUCUCCCCGGAAGCUAAAAGUCUUCUGGUAUUUCUGUCUAGUGGAGGACAGUACAAAUCGAUUGUUGUGCAAGAUUGACAUUUCUGUGUUGUACAUGAUUGUCAUCCCGCUGUGCUUCGUGGACACACCACGACUCCUCUGUGAGAUUCAUUCCUGAUUUCAUGUA